AUCGGAAACUGCGGGGUUAACACAGGCCAGAGAUCCAUGUUUCAGCAAAGCCUCCAGGUAACUCCCACAUAUGCUCAAGUUGAACACCACUGCAUUAGGUGAGUUCAGAUCCCAGCAAGCUCCCGAUCCUGCGCAACGAAGAAAACUCAACAAAACAGGCUUUGGCUGUUUAUUUUAUUUUUUUUUUAAUUGUGCCUUCAUGAAAUAAUUUACAGCAAUAAUUUAUCUUAUAAUAUUGGUUAUUGUUUUUAAGUCCCGGAUGUUUACUUUUGGAUGUCCUCUAUAAUUCAUAGAAGUAUCUUAAAAGUAAUAAAAUCUUAAUCUAAGAGAAAAUAAGUGUAAUUUUUGAAAGAGUGAUAUAUAUUUUAAUAUGUUUUUGUAACAUGUGACUUGAAGAUUGUGUUGGCUAAUUUUAUGUGCCAAGAGAGCCCUGACUAGUACAAAGAUUAUAGCGUUUUUAUUUUUAGCAUGUAUACAGUUAGGAUUAUUGAUCAGUAGCCUGAAUUUGGGAAGAAUAAUCAUUGUGGCAAAUAUCACCCAGUGUGCCUCAAAAAGGUGUGUUUAAAGUUGAUCUUCCAUUUUUAAAUCAUACCUUAAAAAAAAAUACCUCAAGAAAUGCCAUUUUAAGUCUGUGCACCUAUGUGUGCAUGUGUGCGUGUUUGUUUAUAUAAUAGAUUGUGUGAU
rnacentral:lncRNA from 1 species